rnacentral:lncRNA from 1 species
UUAGGAAAAAUUAAAAUACUGACAUACUGAAAAAUAUCUUUAGUAUGUCUAGACAAAUGUACUAACCUAUAUUGCCCUUCAAAGCUUUGCAAGAUAGUCCUUGCAGCUUGUAAUUUCCGUAACAUUUUCAUUAUGAUGGGUUCAUCUUUACAAGAAGGCAGACAGACUAUAAACGGCAACGAGCCAGGAUCAAAAGCUAACAAUAGGUAGGGAAGAAACUGUUGAAUCCACAUAUUCCUGCCUUUGUCAAUCUACAGUAAAUACUAUGGCAUAAAACCUGAAAUAUUUUGGACAAUAUUAUCAAACCCAGUGUUUGGUAUGCAGAUAUAACACCCAAAGAUGUGACAUUUGGGAACCACGUCUUUAUUUACACUGACUCCAACUAGUUGGGCUCCCAGUAAGAGCUCAACCGCAGCAGCUUGUGUUCCUGGUGCUCAAGGCUUGCUGAGUUCCCACAGGGGCUUGUGUAAUAUUUUGAAACCCUGCGUUGUCACAGCUAAAUCGUUACCGGUACCCAAGUUGACAAGCCACAAACUCACCUUCUGAAAUGACAUCUUAGUGGGUCUUGGGAGACUGAAAGACCCAAAACCCAGCUGUAUUUUACUCUGGCACUUCUGCAUCUUCUUCAGCUACCCAGGCGGUUAUUUAUUACUGUUCUUUGUUACCUGUGACUGGGCGACAUUUUGCUGGGCAAAGUUCUGGGUUGCUACAGAAACUGUCUCUGCAAAUCCAUUCAAUCAAGCAAGGUUCUGGUGACAAGACUCAUGCUUUCAGCAGGAACAUAAAUAAUUCACGUUUUUGCUGGCCUGCUCUCCGUGCCUUCCCUACAAGCAGCUCAAAGGAAAGUAGCUGUGAUCAGCUGGAACUCAUACCUAGAGAGUUCAAGAAGGUGGCCCUGGGACAGUGGUUGCUCCAGUCACAAUGUCCCCUGGAGAUGAGAGAAGCUUUCAGAGGGCUGGAAUUUGCAGGAACUGAAAUGGACCCGACUGAUCUGAGCUAGUAAAGCACAACCAGCCUCCAUCCCCAGGGAGACACAGCAACACCCCUCAGCCCGGUCACGUCAGGGUUGCAUCUGCCUCCACUUCUCCUCAUUUGUUUUUCCAGAAAGGUUAACUGCAAUAAACUAACUCUUAGGGGACA